rnacentral:misc_RNA from 1 species
GACGUAGGGUGCAAGCGUUGUCCGGAGUUACUGGGCGUAAAGGGCGCGUAGGCGGCGCAUUGCGUCACACGUGAAAGCCCCCGGCUUAACCGGGGAGGGUCGUGUGAUACGGGUGUGCUCGAGGCAGGGAGAGGCGGGUGGAAUUCCGGGAGUAGUGGUGAAAUGCGUAGAUACCCGGAGGAACACCAGUGGCGAAGGCGGCCCGCUGGCCCUGACCUGACGCUGAGGCGCGAAGGCGUGGGGAGCGAACGGG